CUUCAUCCUCCCGCGUCCUCCCGGGCUCGCGCCGCUGUCACUGGAGCCCGCAUCCUCCGCCUCCCGCCGCCGCCGCGACCCCGCACCGGGAACCAAGCCGGCGCGGAAAACCGCAAGCUUGACUCCACGCCCACCUGACUGGACUGGGAAAACCGAAGAAGUUAGUGAGGGUUCAGCAAUAAAUAGCAGGAGGAGCAGAAUUUGAAACAGCAGCAUACCGGUCCUGCGCCUGGUGAAGGAUGACUCGCCAGAAAGCAAAGGCGCAGCUUGGCGCGUGGCCCAGGAGGCUCCGCGAGCCCUUGUACGUAAGGAUCGUGGCGCCCACGCUUGGGAGCAGAGCUCAGUGCAAACUUCCAACAGUUCUUCCAGUUUCCAGGGAAACGAGAUUUGGAGCUGCUGCGCGUUGCAGAACUGCUUCUCUGCUCCCCACAUGGGACCCCUGUGGCUGGCUGGUCUUAGGGAGGAAGGAAUUGAAGCCAUCUCAUCCAUGAAGUGAUUCUUUCACCAAGGAAGAACUCAUCAUGAUCUGUUGUGAGCCCUCCUCAACUUCCACUUGCAGAGCCAAGGAGGGGACCAAUGGUAGCUGCAGUCUAUCUGCAGUCCAGUGACCUGGAGGGGUCAGAGGCAGGAAGGAGAGCAACUCCAGAAAGAACCACACCAGCAAGGAAUAACUUUGCUACUUUUCCAGGAAAAUCACAUCAUCAGCUACUGACCAAGUUCCUACAGAGCCUGGGCAGGUCUGGCAGCCUUCUGGGGGCAGAUCUCACUCUCCCACUCUAAAAACAAAGAAGAGGCUCUACACCCAGAAAAGACAUGGCAGAAAUGCAACAGCAUAAUCCCAGCACCCGGGAGGCAGAGGCAGGGGGAUUUCUAAGUUUCAGGCCAGCCUGGUCUACAAAGUGAGUUCCAGGACAGCCAGGGCUACACAGAGAAACCCUGACUCAACCCCCCCCCCCCGAGAGAGAGAGAGAGAGAGAGAGAGAGAGAGAGAGAGAGAGAGAGAGAGAGAGAAAGUGCAACAGCAAUUAUUAUGGAUUAGGGAAUAGUUUCACUUUCAAGUCUUACUUUAAUAUUUAUGUGUUUACUAACAUUCAAAACUGCCUCUCCUAGACUCUUAAAUCUAUUGAUCCAAUUAGCUGAGCUUUUAAUUUUUUCUACUCCAUCACUUUUUAAAGGAUUUUUGUUUUUUAUUUUUUAACAUAUGUCUUAGUCUACCUUCUUUUACUAUAACUGAAUACCAUAACAUUUAUGAAGAACAACUUUUUUUUUUUAGCUCCUACUUCAGAAGUGCUUGCAACUGUGAAGUCUUUGUGCUGUAGAAUGGUAUAGGGUAUCACAUGGCAAGACAGAGCAACCAGAGUUCCUUCCAUUACAAAACCACUCAACUAAUUAUAUCCCAGAGGUCCCACCAAACUCUGUGAGCAUAUGACUUUGGGGGUCACAUUUCUAGCCCAUGAAUUCUGGGGACAAGCAUUCACACAUCAUAACUGGCCAAAUAGUUGAAAUUUUCACUGUUAAUCCUCACCCCCGUUUUUCCAGGAAUAGCCAUGUUAAUCUGUCACUUUACACAGGCAGUGCAGGCAUCUCUGUGCAAAACACCCAACUGUGAGUCUUCCAAAGAACUCAUGAAACUAUGGCUAUGAGUUCUCAGAGACGCAACAGUGUUUCUUAUUACGUUAAAAGUUUUUGUCUUAUAGAAUGCAAUCACAGAAAAUAUUAAAUAUACAUAUGAUGUCUUCAUGACAUAGAAAUAAACAUUUAUCUGGCUUCUUGAAGAUGGAAGUGCCUGAAGAGGAAGCAACCCAGAGCCUGCCAGCCCACCAGAGCUGUCUUCCUGCACUUGCUUAGAUAUUUAUAAGAAGGAAUCCAUUCCUAGCCGUUUUAGUUGGCUUGGUCUGUUUUGUUUUGUUUGUUUGUUUAUUUGUUGUGGUUUUUUAUUUUUGCAGAGAAUCAGAGAGAUGAUUCUCCAUGCCUGGCUUCUUUUGUUCCAUGUAUGUUUGUGAAGUGUGUUCAUGAUGCUGCACACAGCGAUACCUCACUCAUUGCUGAUAAUGAAGCCCUGUAGCUUACCCAUUUCACUGCAGUAAAUAACAUAUUGCUUCUUGUUUGUGUGUCCUGAAUCAUGAAGAUGUGCAGUUGAGUAAUCUGGGGGUGAAACUGCCCUGUCUGAUUAAUACCAUCUUUACUUUCAUUUGCCUGUUUCCCAUUGAGGUGCGAUUUAUGUACAAUAAGAACCAUUGAUUUUUAACAAUUCCAUGAGUUUGGACAGUUGCCUACAUUUAUACAAAUGACCACCUCAGGACUCACUGCCAUUCCAGCUUCUGCAAAUGCUAAGCUCAGCUUUUCCCCACACCAGGUCCGUGUGCUAUAGGUUUUAUUAUAGCAUUUCCUAUGCGUGGUUGCAUGUAGUGGACAAUCUUUUCUGCCUGGUUUCAGUGCCUUUCAGAUUUGUCCAAACUCUUGCAUGAAUCGAUUGAAUGUACUUAUUGCUGAAUAGAAUUCUAGUAAAAAGUGUUUAUCCAUUCACG
ensembl:lincRNA Gm10419 predicted gene 10419